UUCGGCUUUGAUUUUUGCUGCUGCAGAGGCGAACCGGUUUUUGUUUUUAUUAUUUGUAUUUUUCUACUUGUUUUUGCACUUCACAUCGAUCGUUUUCUCGUAUCGGUCGAUUCGUUAGCUGCAGUUGGCAGUUUUAAAUUCUAAUAAUCACGGCGAUUAUUUUCAAUUUUUAUUUGGGCGAAUUCGGUGCACCGUUAUUUUGCACGCAGACACCGUCGACUGUCUCGCUCCUUCUCGCUCGCACUCCUCUUGAGCCUAUACGAUAAAAUCGCGCACAAAAUCGUUUUGUGAAAAAUAUUCGAAAAUUCGUUAGUAUCAGUGUUGGUUUUUUCCCGGCGACUUUAACGGUUACCGAUGUGUUUUAAGCAUUAUUUCUGUAACGGAUCACGCGAAAACACAUGCUGCACGAAUCGCGGUUGAAAAAGCAAUAACAAAAAUCGUUGGAGAGCGCCCUAGAGAUGGCAAAUGUUCGAUUACAGGCUGAUAUCGUGGGCUUACAGCUCUAGUUGGAGAGAGCGAGUUCGAAUUCGAAGAAAGAGCGGUUUCUGUUAACCGGUUGUUCCGUGAGGUUUGAGGCAGCACUUAGUUCUGAUUGGAGUUCUUUAUGACGGAUUGCGCCCUGGCUAGAAAAAUGUUCUGCGAAUUUAAAAAUGGUAUGUUCCACUACGUCACAUCACAUGAACUAUUCGAAUUCAAAAGACGCAAAAUGAAACUUAUCUCGGCAUGGAGGAUUUGUCAACUACCAAAUCCGGAUCAGUGUCACCAGUGUCUUUUCAUCACGUGACUGCAAGGUAGUGGCCGAUUCCCGGAAUUUAUGUACUUAAAUAAAAUGCUGGAAAAUAAAAAAUUAUAGUAUUUUUUACUAAGUAUCUUGAGUCCCUAGAAAUCUUAAUUUUAAAGAUCUAGAAAAUAAAUAAAUAAUUUAAAAAGUUACAUCUUUCUGCACCUGAUGUCUGUAAUAAAAAAUGACAGACAGAUAAUAAUUUGCGAAAAAAGCACAGAAUUUCUUGGCCACUUUUUCCUUUCUGGCGCAAUCAAUUUUCCUCCUGCUGAUUUUCCUUCUUUUCCGGCGAGUGUUUGCCCUGGAAAAAAAUAUUGAAAGUGCCAGACACACAUUGAAUAAAUGGAGGAGCACAGAUGGAGUGGGUGGAAAAUGGGCGGUGGGAGUCAGCCAGUUUGCAAUGCAAGUGGCAUUCGCCAUUUUCCCCGCGCUUUUCCGCCGCGCACUUUCACAUCAUUUGCAUGUUAUUAAGCGUUAUUUAAUGUGCAACUUCAGUGAGAGAGGGGGGUGGGGAGUGGGUUGCAAUUGUAAGGGCAACUAUCAGCAUUUGCACCCACUCUCAUUUUCCUUCUGCCCGGAGUAUGCGAAAUCAAAAGUGCAGCUUUUCCGCCCACUUUUCGGACAGCUUUUCGCUUGAAUAACCGCGCUUAUUAGUAUUUGUGCAGGGGAUUUGUGUGAAGGAUUUGCGGUGUCCUUUACCAGGAUGUUGAAUAUUCCCUCAAAAAAAAGGGAGUGGAAUGGAAAAAGUUGAGUGAAGCACGACGAAUUUCAUGAAAGGAUUUGGAAGCCGAGUUUUAUUACUAGGAUUACAGUUUUAGCAGCACAGUGAAAGAGUUUUUGCUCCUUGUAUUUUGAGUAGUGCAUAAAUCUAAAAUUUAUAUGCACUUUGACUUUAUGAACCAUUAGAUUACUAUAUAAUACAUAAUAAUCUAAGAAUAUGAAUUUUAAAUUUUAAAGCAAUAAAUUAUGGGUGAACAGCCUGGUUAUCAAAGGCCACCAAAUGUGCAACAAUCUUGCCGCAGAAAUUAGGCUAAACACAAAAUAAUAAUAAUAAUCCAUAAACAAACGCACAUGCUGGCUGCUGCUGGCCCAGUGGGUUUCUGGUCCGACAAAUUGCCACAAAUUAAGACCAGAGUGAAUAAAAAAAAAAA
rnacentral:sRNA from 1 species